rnacentral:rRNA from 1 species
UACGGAGGGUGCAAGCGUUGUCCGGAAUCACUGGGCGUAAAGGGCGCGUAGGCGGCUCAUGAAGGCUGUGGUGAAAGUCCGGGGCUCAACCUCGGAUCGGCCGUGGCGACUCGUGGGCUGGAGCACUGUAAAGGCGGGUGGAAUUCCGGGUGUAGCGGUGGAAUGCGUAGAGAUCCGGAAGAACACCAGUGGCGAAGGCGGCCCGCUGGGCAGUGGCUGACGCUGAGGCGCGACAGCGUGGGGGAGCAAACAGG